AAGGGUAUAGCUCAGUGGUAGAAUGCAUGCGUAGCAAGCACGAGGUCCUGGGUUCAAUCCCCAGUACCUCCA
rfam:Camelus ferus unplaced genomic scaffold scaffold238, whole genome shotgun sequence.